rnacentral:lncRNA from 1 species
UGAGGUUUGUUUAUGGCUCCUCAGACUGCUGUUUAUUGCUAUCGUACGGCCGUUACUGAAGUUGGUAUAACUAGAGAAGCAAGCGGUCAGAAACAUUCAUCUCUCGAGGGGGUGUCUCACUCGGUGUUAUGGUGUGUUUGACCCUAAAUUAAUUUUACGCCGGAAUAUCCCUUUAAGACCGAAAAGCUCUUGUGAGUCAUGAUUAGUGUGAUCCUCCAUUUGUAACCUGUUUACUUUCUAGAUGUCAACCCUCUAAAGGUUUACAGCACUGUGCUUUAAGUGAGAAACUGUCUGAAAUAGUUGUUCAAGAUUGCUGUAAUUUAUUGUAAACCUGUAGACCAGACCCCCGUUGAGUGAUUUGAAUAACUAAAAGGAAAAGGAGAAGCAGACCAAGCCUAAUCCAUCACCGAGAGAGGGAAAAAAAGAACAAGUGAUGUAAUAUUUUAAUACGAGAAAAAACACUCAGACAGACCAAAACAACACAACACAACAGCAAUUUCACUUAGUCUGGCCGUAUAGUGAGAUUAGGCUACGAAAUGAUCUAUAAACAGCCAUCUGACUGAGAUUUCACAUUGUGUUGGAGAGCCUUACAGACCGCUAAACCCGGGAUUAUCGCACGGCACAGUGACCUGACUCGACUCUUUGCUUGGUCUGGAAGGGGAUUGACAGAGACUGAUGUUUGGGGUUUUUGCAGGGGAAGCCUGUAUUGUCAGAUCGGUAAAGUAAAGCUUGCCUUAAUCUUUAAAGCGUCAUAAAAUAAUGUAAUAAAAAUCAAACACCCGCAAAAUCCUGAGUAUAAAUGUCAUUUAAAAAUCUGCAAAUUAUGUGAAGUCGUUUGACAGAUUAAAUAAAAAGUGCACAGGCAGGUAUAGGAGGAGAGAGCUGCUGCUUCAUGUUGGCAUGUGGUUAGGAAACUUCUCCAAAGCUGCAGUCAAUUUAUUAGCCUGCCUAGUAGCUGCUAUAUGACAUGAACAGGAUGAGAAUGAAGGCCCACGUGCAGCAGCAUGUGUUUCCUGUCUCUGGUUAGUUUUUCUUCCACUUACUUUAAUUCAAAAUCAGACGGGACAUAAGUUUUUAAUCAGCGAGGCCAGUUUUAAUCUAUACUGGGCUAUCAGGCCAGCAAUCACGGGUAAACAGAUAAUCCCUCCCGGGGUCGAUGACUCAGUGUUGAAGCAGUAAAGCGACCCAACGCUAAUGCUUGAGGCACUUCACACAACAGUACUGUAGGCUUUGAAGGGUGGUGAGUAAUCUUACAAUAACGUGGGGCAUUUCACAACAUAGCAGUUUCAUAGCGGAGCGAAGGGAGGCAGGAACCAAUGAACGCAGCGGGAGGCAUACCUCCAUCCGUGAAAAGAAGAGAGGGAAAAAAGAGGAGUAGAAGUAUGUGUUUGUCUUUGCACUCCGGAGACUUGAUCGACAUCCCCACCCUGUCUACUUUGACCUCCCACUAACUCUGCUGGGUCUCUCUACCUCCUACAGUCGACUGAUUCCCCGCCUCUCCAACCCUCACUCUACUUCCUCCUCACUUCCUCCACCUCUAUCUCCAUCAUCUCUCAUCACUCCCUCCUCUUCAUCUCCUUCGUCGACCCCUCUUAAGCCUCUUCCUCUCUCUACUCCGUGCUUUCCUCUCUCUCCCCUCUUCCCUCUCUCUUCAGUCCAUUCCUGUGGCCGCUCCCCACAGGCAGUGAUGCAAUCCUCCGACUCCUGCGCGCAAUCACAGGGUCUGGAGUCGGGCUCGCCAGCCAAGCAGGGGCGUCACCACACCACGCUCAGUAGGAAAGCAACAGGAGAGGAAAGAAAAGAGGUGAGGAGGGGGAGAGAGAGAGAGAGAGAGAGAGAAGGAAUGAAGCCAAUGAGAGAGAGAGAAGAAAAACAGUCUGAGGCUUUUGGAGCUGCUGGUGGGUGAUAGAGGAAAAAGUAUGGCGAUAAAAGUUAACAGCUCUGUUUAACAGUUUGGCACAAUCAAAACCGAGCUCGGGGUUAACGUGACUGCGAGGUGAGAUGUGUUCGAACUUGUGAAUGAAUCUGUUUUUGGAAGGACCGACCAACUAAAACGGCACAACAUCCCAGCUCAGUGUCCUCCCAUCAGCCCACUAACCAGCUGUGUCCGUUUAGAUAGGGCUGCUGGAUGAGGCCUCUGUUUCGGAAGUGAUGGCGCUUUGCUACUCCCACACUAAAUGCUGUCGUUCCAGCUGACUCACACCAACAUUAGCAUUAUUCUUACCGCUUCACUGGCGGUAUAAAAUUCAAGUAUGGGGGUUACAUGAUCUGCCAUUUAACAUUUUUUUUCCCACUUGUAACAAAAAUCUCAAUUAUCUGAAUCUCCUCUUGCAGGUAACAUGUCAGGACUGAAAGAAUAUCUCCUUACAGAUGCGUGCAUGCAAAGUGUGAUGUUAUCAGACACAGCGCACACAGGCAUGAACGAUCUAAAGGUGUGAUUUUAAAGCGAGUGCACACACUUGCAUGAGACACGCCCCUGCAGACCUCCCCUAAAGGCAGCAGCAAUGACCACAAGGUUAAGUCAGGAAUGCAAACGCAGCGACACCUGCCUAAAUCUUUAAAACGCCAGGCACAUGCACACAAACAAAAAGCUGCUGGUGGCCACUCCCUCAAACUCCAGGCAGCUUUUAGGCCUUUAAAAAUGACUCCAGCUCCAAAUGAGGAAUGCAGGUGUGCAGCCCAACCUUUGUCCCUUUAAGCUCCCUCUAUAAAAUCUUUAUCUUCUCACCAAAAAAGUGCAGAAAGAGGAUUUUUUUUUCUUUGCACAGUUUGUCUUCAAUUUUAAAUUCAAAUGCAGCAUCCUUACAGCAGACAAAACCUCGUGCCUCCAGAUCUCUGUCACCAACGCACAAACGAGCGUGUGAGUGAGGAGGAGCGGGAGCCAGGGCAUCUUCCUGGUGGGCUGAAGCAUCCAGGGGCUGGUAGACUCUUAUAUGUCACCGUCAGGGGGCUCAGGUUUAUGUGCAACAAAGUUUGGGAGUGCAGAGAAGUUGCAGAUGCAAAAUGCGUUAAGUGGGGACCCUUUUUUUGUCAACAUGUUAUAGGGUGUCCAUACGUCCUCUUUUACCCAGACAAGUCGUCUUUAUGGGGGGCUGUCCGACCUGUUCGGGGGAGUUUAUAAAAUCCUUUAAAUGGGUUUUGUAUGGAAGUUUUAAGUUUGUGUCGCAUGGACUUACUGAGUUAGAAGCGCGUAAAAGACACUCGAUCCAACCCAAAAAACUCAGAAUUAACUAUGCGCGCCUCUGUGACUCCACCUCGUGUCCUCUUUUUGAGAAUUCAGAAUAUAGAAAGGCUGUCUAUAAACCUUUCACUUGUUCGUCUCCGCCCGUAUGCAUGGU